CUGAUGUCAGAUUCUGUCAUUGCCAUGAUUUCCAGCUCUAUGGACGAGGUUAUGAACAAAAUUAGCAAGAAAUUUGCUGCACAACCUAUUGAAGUGUCUGAACUCACAGCUAAACACAUUGGCAAGACUGGUGAAUUGAAAGGUAAAGGUAAGAUGGACACGCUAAUGAAUUGGGCUUUCACUGUACUUUGGAACCCCCAUCCUUCGAUCUGGGUGUUGGAUAUACGCAACCAAGCAUGUCAGUAUCAACAUACUCCAAAGAGUUACAAGCACGUGUUGACUCGAUCAUAUCCGAUGUCGUGAAGGACACGAAAAGUGAGAGGAAAGAGGUAUUAACGAAUGAUUGCGUCACUUUUGCAUUCUAUUACAUGGUGCACGUUAUAUUAAAGUCGCAUGUGAUGUCAAUAAAUACUUUCUCGUAUAGAAAUUGGAAAGAUGUGACAUACUUGUAAUGGAUAUUUAUAUACAAACACUAUUGUACGACAAUAUUACAUUUUGUUGAGGUAUUUAACCACUAGAUAUUGUGCAGGAUUCACCUGUCAUAGCACCUAGUUCUAGCUUACCUGUGAAGAGUGCUCCUAGACUAGCCAAAGCUCUACAAUCUCCUUACGUUGUCACUGAAGGGAAACAAAUCAAGCCUUCAGGACACGUAGUACUUUUCGAACAUUAUAAUCAAAAUGUAGAUGACCUUGACAUUGCGAACUUCCAAAAUUGGUUCCAACGAGGCUACAACCACAUAAUAAGUAAGCAUGAUUGCUAGUAAAUUUAUUACCUCGGAGAAAUGAAUCAUUUUCGUUGGCUUGUAGGAAGAAGUUCAGUGAUAAAGAUGACCACAUUCGUCCACCGUUCGUUGUUGGAGAGUUUAUGGUAGGGAACAAAACAUAGUGGUACGAGCUAGUUUCAAGGGAGGUGUCACUGAGUAGCUCGGUAUGUUGUCUACUACUUCCACUAAUAAUAUAGGUCGUACUGUCACAAUUUGUUAUCAUAAUCAUACUCACAAACCAUAUGCAAGGGUAACAUACUCCAGUUAGAAACUAUUUAUGUACAUGAUAUUUUAUAUUGGUCACAUUACAUUGUUUCAAAUUCACAACCAGACCAUUUGAAGAGACAUUAUGACUAUCAUAGAACAAUAGGGAUGUAGUCACAUAAUAUAUGAAGUCAUCAACUAUCAUAUGUCCAAGCCAAAGGUUAUAGCAUAAAAAUAAUUCACACAACACAUACACUUGUUCACAAUUGUACCGUUCACAUGUCAAAUCUAAAAUAAGUAUUUCAGUACGCAUAGGUCACAGGGUGUGAAGAAGAACAAUGUCAUUACGUACAUGUCAUAUGCUAAUGGCACCUCAUGUUUCACUAUUACUGGAUUUGUUGCUUUGACCUAUCUGUUCAUUGUGACAGCAUAUGAAUGUUUGCUUCUACUACAUACGUCAGUUGGCAAGAAAUGGUUAAAAUGUGAAAUACAUUGCUACCACAACGGACUCUUUGUUCCAGGCAAAGCUGAAGAACAUCUAACCUAAAUUCAAGCAAGAUACAAAUGUGGUCCUAAACGAUUCAAGCCUGCUAAAUGACAUUACAGGUGCACACAUUCCAUUGAGCGCCCCAUGGUCUGAUGUGGACAUUGUGUUGAUGCCUAUUUUGCCAACCAACAAACUCACUGGAUGCUGGGAGUUCUCGAUAUAAAGAAGCAGCAGUUUUUUGUGUUCAAUUCAUCCAUGAAGACGUACAAUAACAUCAAAGUCCAUAUUGAAAUUGAACCAUUUGUGAAAAUUCUCCCCCACCUCAUGAAGCGUAUUGGAGUUUGGAAUAAAGACUCAGAUGCUCAUUCGAAUGAUUUCAUGGAGUUGGAGGUGCUGCUAGACUUCUCACUUCCACAUCAAAAAAAUGGUCAUGACUGCGGUAUUUAUGUGAUCAAGUAUGCUAAGUAUAUGCUGCGUGAAGCUAUAGGCUCAUUGUAGACCAAAUUUGAUGCUAGUAGAGCACAUCUAGAUGUAGCUUCGUUGCUAAACAAACAUCGUGAAAUCGAGAAGGAAAGGAACAAAGUGUAUUAGACUGGGGGUGAAAGCAUAGUUAUUGAGUGAUAGUUGAUUCUCCUUUCCACUAAUUGUUUUUGGAUAUGUAUUCAGACUUAGUCAUAAA